UGCUGGGUAGAGCAGUCUGGUAGCUUGUGGGGCUCAUAAUCCCGAGGUCGCGGGUUCGAAUCCUGCCCCAGCAC
rnacentral:tRNA from 1 species